rnacentral:lncRNA from 10 species
GUUAGGGGCCAGAGUGUCCAAACUCAUUUUAAAUCAGGUCUCUUUGUCCUUGUGGCAGACUUGAUAGCGACGGGGCCGACCUCCUCACCAAGCUGUUGCAGUUUGAGGGUCGAAAUCGGAUCUCCGCAGAGGAUGCCAUGAAACAUCCAUUCUUCCUCAGUCUGGGGGAGCGGAUCCACAAACUUCCUGACAGUGAGUGGAGCUGGGGAAUGGACCGGCCAGCGUGGGGACUGGGAAACAGGACUGCUGGGGCCAGCUGGCGGGUUGUGUAGGAUUCUGGCUGUGCCACCUCUACGUGGGGGGACAUCUUGUUCACGUGUGUGAUGGGUUGUAUUUGUUAUGAAAACAUUUUUUAGUUUUCAGUUCCUUUUACCUUUCAUGAAAAAUUUAAAACAUACAUAAAAAUAUAUGCAAUAGCACUUUACUUUUUUUAAAGUAGACAUUUCCUUACAUGUGCUAAAAAAUGCACAAAUCAUAAGUAUACUAUACAAUGAAUUUUCAUAAAUGAAACACAUCCUUGUAACUAGCACAAAAGUCAAGAAACAGAAUGUUAAAAGCUCCCCACCCCCAGCUCCCUUGCAUCUCCUUCAGUUAUUCCCAGCCCCUUCCCAAAGGGUGGCCACUGUUUUGACCUCUAACAGCAAGGAUAAGUUUUUUCUGUCCUUGUACUUUAUAGAAAUAGAAUCACAUGUGAUGUUCUUUUUAUAUCUGGCUUUUAAAAACUUUUUAAUAUGGAUAUUUUCAAAUAUAUGUAUUUAUAUAUUAGUCAAAGUAAUAUGAUGAGUCCCUAAGUACUCCAGUGAGUCAUCAAUUCAUGGUCAAUCUGGUUUUAUCUAUAUUCUCUCUGAUUAUUUUGAAUCACAUCC